AUGGCCUGGACGGUGCUUCUGCUGGGGCUCCUCACUUAUGUCUCAGGGGCUGAUUCUCAGACUGUGGUGACUCAGGAGCCAUCGCUGUCAGUGUCUCCAGGAGGGACGGUCACACUCACCUGUGGCCUUAGCUCUGGGUCAGUCUCUACCAGUAACUACCCCGGCUGGCAUCAGCAGACCCCAGGCCAGGCUCCCCGCAGACUUAUCUACAACACAAACAACCGACCCUCUGGGAUCCCUGGUCGCUUCUCCGGUUCCAUCUCUGGGAGCAAAGCCGCCCUCACCAUCACGGGGGCCCAGCCUGAGGACGAGUCCGACUAUUACUGUAGUCUGGAUAUGGGUAGUUAUACUUACACAGUGAUGUGA